AGUCGAGCGAACAGACGAGGAGCUUGCUCCUCUGACGUUAGCGGCGGACGGGUGAGUAACACGUGGAUAACCUACCUAUAAGACUGGGAUAACUUCGGGAAACCGGAGCUAAUACCGGAUAAUAUAUUGAACCGCAUGGUUCAAUAGUGAAAGACGGUUUUGCUGUCACUUAUAGAUGGAUCCGCGCCGCAUUAGCUAGUUGGUAAGGUAACGGCUUACCAAGGCAACGAUGCGUAGCCGACCUGAGAGGGUGAUCGGCCACACUGGAACUGAGACACGGUCCAGACUCCUACGGGAGGCAGCAGUAGGGAAUCUUCCGCAAUGGGCGAAAGCUUGACGGAGCAACGCCGCGUGAGUGAUGAAGGUCUUCGGAUCGUAAAACUCUGUUAUUAGGGAAGAACAAAUGUGUAAGUAACUAUGCACGUCUUGACGGUACCUAAUCAGAAAGCCACGGCUAACUACGUGCCAGCAGCCGCGGUAAUACGUAGGUGGCAAGCGUUAUCCGGAAUUAUUGGGCGUAAAGCGCGCGUAGGCGGUUUUUUAAGUCUGAUGUGAAAGCCCACGGCUCAACCGUGGAGGGUCAUUGGAAACUGGAAAACUUGAGUGCAGAAGAGGAAAGUGGAAUUCCAUGUGUAGCGGUGAAAUGCGCAGAGAUAUGGAGGAACACCAGUGGCGAAGGCGACUU
rnacentral:rRNA from 1 species